CCUCAACCCUAACCUUUCACACAUCACGUGAGCUCACCUAAACAAUGUUCCUCUUAGUCUGAGCUGUUGCCUUUGGCUCUUCCCAGCUCACGGCUUUAUAACCUCAAUGUCUCCACCUUUUCUGAUGUUGUUUGUGGCUUCUUGUGGCAUCUUCCCUCAGGUUCUCUCUGGCUCUCUCUGGCUACAUUUUAGUGUUACAAUUCAGAGCAUUGGGUAUCAAUCCUCAGCUUACAGCUCAGAGCAUCUGGAACUGCAGCCCUUAGCUGAGAUAAUUCAGUCAUCCCCUCACAGAGAUGGCAACUUCUGUGGCUAGGAGACCCAGGCUUCAGUCUGAUUUUUUUACUAAAAAUCUCAUUAUCCCAGUCUGUCUAUGACAAAGGUCACAGACCAGUGGCAGACUGUUCUCGGGAAACUUUUCUUGAAGUUUAACAUUAAAACACUGGCCAUACUUUAGGGGAGAUGUACAGAGGAGAAAUGCCUCCAGACUAACACCAAAAGAGUACCGGAGGGGCUCUUUAUAAAGCCAGGAGAGGGGUUUGGCAUGCUUGCACACACAAAAUUUCACCAAGCACAGCACAGUUACCAGUUCCAUUAGCUCAAGCCCCACAUUGCACCAAACUCAGCCCCUUGGCUGCAUCUCUGAAGAGAGGUUUACCAGUUCUAGGGUGACUGGGUUUCACUGAUGCUUGUCUGGCCCAAAAUAGAAUCUCCAAAGUUCUGGCAUAUAUCUGUUCUCUAUUUACCUCUUCUGAUGACAAAGGGUCCACCCAGGCCAUUCACUCAAAUUUUAAUCUGAGAAUUUGAUUUUUGUUGUGUUUCUCGUGAAUUCUGGAUAUUAAUCCUUUGGCAGAAGAAUAGCUGACAAAUGUUUUCUCACAUUCUCGUGUCGUCUCUUCAUUCUGAUGAUUGUUUCCUCUGCCACACUGAAACUACCUGGUUUGAGGAAAUUUAUAAGCAAGAGACACAGAAGGUCUUCAUCUCUGGAGGUCCAAGGUCAAGAAACCAACAGAUUAAACAGACAGACCCUGGAAGUUAGGAGCUGCACACUAGAGAACAGGAAGAUUGGCUGGGAAGUGUGACAUCUAAGGCGAUGACAGACUGACCCGGUGAACUUCACUCACUGCGUUCAAGAUGACGCUGUUUCAUUGCUUAUCUGCUCCUUCCGGUUCCGCUCCUUUGCUGCUGUUGCCCUUGGUUCAUCCCAAGCUACUUCAGUCUCCAAAACAACGGGAGUCCCUUGCUGCAGCUGGGUUGCCCUUUCACCAAGAGCCUCUCCUGCCUCUCUCUCUUCAGGGACUCCCGUCCCGCCACACAGUGCCAAGCUGCAACUGCUCUCCACGACAAGAGCAUUCCUUCAAAACCAGCACCACCCAGGCGAGUCUCACACUAUCCCGUUGAGCUGCCAACACAAGGUGCAACCUUGGCCCCUUCUGGAACACAACUUCUAUGUGGUCACCUUUAAAAAAAACUUCUCCAAAGACUUCACCUCAAUGAUGCUGGUCUAUUCUUAAUCCUAGCUGAUCCUUCAGCCUCAGCUGAGCAGCAUCCAUUGUCCCAGCAAAGCAAAGAUUUAGUUUUACUUCAGUGGCUCUAGUGUCUUACUAACCACAGCCAAUUAAUUCAUCGGUUGCAGCUGACCAGAUGCUACAGAUUCUUCACACAAACGGCCUGUAACGUCUUUACUUCCCUCUGGAACGUUACAAGCCAUAUCUCUAUCAUCUACACCACUCUCAACAUUCUUACCUUCCAAGUUCCUACAGAACAGCCCACUGAGCUCUCAACACUCAGCGGCUUUUCUAGUCCAAAGUUCUAAAGUCCUUUCACGAUCUUUCCGGAAACAACAUGGUCAAGUGUGCCCCUCCAAUAUCCUGGUACCAACUUCUAUCCUACUUAAGGUUACUAUUGUUGUGAUGAAACACUGUGACCAAAACAACUCGGGGAGGAAGGGAUUUAUUAGGCUUAUGCUUCUGCAUCAUUGUUCAUCAUUGCAAAAAGUCAGGAUAGAAACUCAAGCAGGGAUGAAACCUGAAGGCAAGAGCUGAUGUAGAGGCUAUAGGUCAGGUGCUGCUUACUAGUUUGCUCUUCAUGGCUUGCUCAGCCUGCUUAUAGACCCCAAGACCACCAACCCAGGGAUGGCACAAUUCACAAUGGGCUGAGCUCUCCCACAUCAAUCACCAAAUAAUAAAAUACUCUGAAGACUUGCCUAUAGACUGAUCUUAUGGGGGCUUUUUCUCAACUGAGGUUCCCACUUCUCAAAUGACUUCGACUUGUGACAAGUUGGUGGGAAAGUAUCCAGCAAUAUGCUGUACAUGCAAUCCCACAUUUUCCCUGAAAAUUAUAAAAUUGAUAUUCUAGGUGGAGUAUUUAAAUUUUAAUCUACAGCUAUUCAGAAUGGGGACUGCAUACUCUUCCCAGAUCCACCCUCGUUCCCUACCCCUCAAAUCUGUGUGAUUUUCAAAAUAAAUCUUCCAAGGCCAGGUUGUGCUGCUCAAAUAUUCUAGAUAUGUAGUUUUCCAAAGGAGCACAGUCAUAUCAGAGGACACACCCUUAUGAUGAAUUAGCCUUUCCUCUCCCAGCAGCCAAUAACUCCACAGCUGGGAAUAGGGAUGUGCCCAACUCCUCUAUCAAGCUAGCAUUUGGCUGGCUUUGGUAACUAAGAUAUAUUUAGUUGGUAGAUGUUAGUAUGCUUUCAAUCUCAUUUCUUGAUAGCUAGAGAUCUGUUUCAGUCAUAAAUCCACUUGGUUUAACUUUGGUGGUUUACUUGUGUUUAAAUUUUCAUCCAGUUUAAAAUUUCCUAUUUCUUCUAUUUUUAAUUUAUCACCUGUUGAGUUCAAUCAGCAUUCUCCUUAUGCAUGUGGGUAUAGGACUGAGCACUGAAAUAUGAGAAACAGGGACAUGCUGGGGAAUCAUUAUCCCUCAAAUAACAUGGAAUAAUUCCUUUGAAAUAAGAAUUUUCAGCUAUACAUUUUUAGGAUGGGUGGAGACCCUGGGAGGAGUUAGACUGGGGAGUGAGGGAUCGGGUUUAUCAAAAUAUAUUGUACCUACAUAUUAAGUUCUCAAAGAAUAAAAAUUAAUCAGUUUUCAAAAAUUCCAAUUUCUCUUUUACCUGAUUUUGGGUUGCUUCAUCCAGCAAUCCAAAAGGUAAGGGUUUUUUCCUUGUCUUAUUAUAUUUUGUUGUGCCGCGUUCAAAUGAUGCCCUGGGAGGCCUUCUGUUUGCUGGAGGAAGACA